GCAAGUCGAACGAUCCUUCGGGAUAGUGGCAGACGGGUGAGUAACGCGUGGGAACGUACCUUUCAGUUCGGAAUAGCCCAGGGAAACUUGGAAUAAUACCGUAUACGCUCUUCGGAGGAAAGAUUUAUCGCUGAAAGAUCGGCCCGCGUUGGAUUAGCUAGUUGGUGGGGUAAGAGCCCACCAAGGCGACGAUGCAUAGCCGACCUGAGAGGGUGAUC
rnacentral:rRNA from 1 species